rnacentral:rRNA from 1 species
CAGCCGCCGCGGGAAUACGUAGGGUGCGAGCGUUAAUCGGAAUUACUGGGCGUAAAGCGUGCGCAGGCGGUUUUGUAAGACAGGCGUGAAAUCCCCGGGCUCAACCUGGGAAUGGCGCUUGUGACUGCAAAGCUAGAGUGCGGCAGAGGGGGAUGGAAUUCCGCGUGUAGCAGUGAAAUGCGUAGAUAUGCGGAGGAACACCGAUGGCGAAGGCAAUCCCCUGGGCCUGCACUGACGCUCAUGCACGAAAGCGUGGGGAGCAAACAGGAUUAGAUACCCCGGUAGUCCCUGUCUCUUAUAC